UGUAUACUGCCUUGCACAAAAGUUUACCUUUGGGAGUCCAUAUUUUACACUCCUUUUUGGUAAAUUCUACCUUUUUCUUUGAGGUGUUCCUUGGAGUGAUGUGACUUAUUUUAUACAACAUUUUGUCAUUACUGAGUUUCUCACAAAAUGGACGAAUGUGUCCUGGUGAGAAACAGUAAUGGCAAACAUAACCUCUUAUUCUGGAGUCUGAAGGAGUGGCUGUGGACUUCCUACAUUCC
rnacentral:lncRNA from 1 species